rnacentral:rRNA from 1 species
UGGGGAAUAUUGCACAAUGGGCGCAAGCCUGAUGCAGCCAUGCCGCGUGUGUGAAGAAGGCCUUCGGGUUGUAAAGCACUUUCAGCGAGGAGGAAGGUGGUGGACUUAAUACGUUCAUCAAUUGACGUUACUCGCAGAAGAAGCACCGGCUAACUCCGUGCCAGCAGCCGCGGUAAUACGGAGGGUGCAAGCGUUAAUCGGAAUUACUGGGCGUAAAGCGCACGCAGGCGGUUUGUUAAGUCAGAUGUGAAAUCCCCGGGCUCAACCUGGGAACUGCAUUUGAAACUGGCAAGCUAGAGUCUCGUAGAGGGGGGUAGAAUUCCAGGUGUAGCGGUGAAAUGCGUAGAGAUCUGGAGGAAUACCGGUGGCGAAGGCGGCCCCCCUGGACGAAGACUGACGCUCAGGUGCGAAAGCGUGGGGCAGCAAACAGGAUUAGAUACCCUGGUAGUCCACGCUGUAAAACGAUGUCGAUUUGGAGGUUGUGCCCCUUGAGGCGUGGNUUCCGGAGCUAACGCGUUAAAUCGACCGCCUGGGGAGUACGGCCGCAAGGUUAAAACUUAAAGGAAUU